rnacentral:rRNA from 1 species
UAGGGAAUCUUCCGCAAUGGGCGAAAGCUUGACGGAGCAACGCCGCGUGAGUGAUGAAGGUCUUCGGAUCGUAAAACUCUGUUAUUAGGGAAGAACAAAUGUGUAAGUAACUAUGCACGUCUUGACGGUACCUAAUCAGAAAGCCACGGCUAACUACGUGCCAGCAGCCGCGGUAAUACGUAGGUGGCAAGCGUUAUCCGGAAUUAUUGGGCGUAAAGCGCGCGUAGGCGGUUUUUUAAGUCUGAUGUGAAAGCCCACGGCUCAACCGUGGAGGGUCAUUGGAAACUGGAAAACUUGAGUGCAGAAGAGAAAAGUGGAAUUCCAUGUGUAGCGGUGAAAUGCGAAGAGAUAUGGAGGAACCCCAGUGGCGAAGGCGACUUUCUGGUCUGUAACUGACGCUGAUGUGCGAAAGCGUGGGGAUCAAACAGG